AACUCAUCUCAUAACUGUCAAAUGGCAUGAAAAGAUAUGUCAUAUACAUAUCUAUUUAUAUUUAGUUAGAUAGUUCAUAACUUAAUAUUUCUUUAUAUUUAUAUUUUUAUGCUUAGACAUUUACAUGUAGGGAUACUGCAACACUAGUUUGCUGCCAUUUCUUACGGCAAAGCUUAAAGGGAUGGUAGCAGUCACACUACUGCAGCUUGUAUAAAUCUAACAUAAAGAGCAUGAUUUAUAUUACAAUGUACAGUACAUUUGUUCAAGAAUGACUGGAAUUUACAGUUCAUUUUGUUCAAGAUGGACUAGCAUAGUAAAGUACAUAUAGUGCCCAAUAGCAACAGCUCUGUGAGUGAUGUGUGAGAAAUACUGCCAUCCUAUGACAAAAGAUGGCAACUCUUUGGAAUGAGUUUCUUAGUAAAUGACAAAAAUGUGUCCUAGUUUAUGGAAGAUUUACUUGGUUUUGAAAUGUCUAUAUUUCAGAAAUUGGGGCUAAGCUAUUCUAAUUCCUUCGGCAUCAUGUAGAGCAUACGCAUAUUAUCCCAAAUCAA